rnacentral:rRNA from 1 species
GGGUCAGUAGGUUGGUCGUGCCACCGGUACGUACUGGUCUCACUGAUUCCUCCUUCCUGAAGAACCGUAAUGCCAUUAAUUUGGUGUUGCGGGGAAACAGGACUGUUACUUUGAAAAAAUUAGAGUGUUUAAAGCAAGCUAACGCUUGAAUACAUUAGCAUGGAAUAAUGAAAUAGGACGAUCGAUCCUAUUUUGUUGGUAACUAGGAUUGACGUA